AAUAAGUGUAGUUUUACACUAUUCACGUUUAACGUUUGACUGUUUAUCUUAUUUAAAAAAAUUUACGAUUAGUAUUUUUAUUGCUAUUAGAUGAUAAAACAUGGAUAGUAUUUUAUGUUUGACUAAAUAUUUUUAAUAUUUUUAUAAUUUUUUUUAAAUAAGACGGACGGUCAAAUGUUGAGCACAAAUAACAGCUGUAUUUAUU
rnacentral:pre_miRNA from 1 species